AGCCUCCGCGGGGUGGUCCUCAAGUCCGUCCAGAUAAUGUGUGUGAGGAUGAUGAGAGAGGAGCCCAGGAAGGACAGAGCGCAGAGUGACAUUAAGCGUCCUGCUGUGGAGACACAAACGAUACGAAGUGUGGCGUAACUUUGGGGUCUCCUUCGGCGUGAGAUGGAUGGCGGUGAAGGAGCGGUGAUGGAGAACGUCUGACAGCUGGCAGCUCUGUUGUAGUUGCUUCUUGGAGGAGUGCCGCAUAUCCUCGACAGCAGCUCGUGUCAUUUGCAGAAGUGCGCUGUCUCCUGGCCUACAUUCACCGCUGCCGUCAUGCUACAGCCAGAAACGAGUCGAGCACGCAGGGGCAAAGACAGAUAAUGCACCGUCUCCUCCAGAGGUGCUUUUUCAACACCCGUGUCUUCCUGUGAAGGUAUUCAGCUGCUGCAGUGUCUCUACAGGGGGAGUCCUGACUCAUGCACUGCUUCCGAUUAAAAAAACAAAACAAAAAAGCGCUCAGCCUCUGAAAGGGCUGAAAGCAGCUGUACACCGGGAGAGCUGAUUUACAAAGAGACAGAGUAAAAAAGAUUAAAACUUUGCUUUUUUGGAGCCUUUCAUCAAAUAUGAUACUCUAUUUGAUAACUGUGUACAGUGCUAAAAGACAGAGCUCCUCUUACAGAUUUCUGUUUUUGAUUUAUAGUCAGAUUAAUUAAUUUUAAAACCAGUCAGGAAUAUUUUGAGCAUUUACAAAAUGCGUUUUUCAAACACCACCACACAAAGGUGAACACAAAAGCGUGUAUUCUGUUAUAUCUGCGGUAAAACUAACAUGCAUUUUAUUUAAAAAAAAAAGAACAAAAAAGAAAAGAAAGCUCUGCAAACAUGUUGCUGAUCCAGGAUCUGGAAGAUUUGCUCUCUACCAGAAAAUCCUGAGGGAAAAUGUCCAGCCACCAGUUUGUGAUGUUGAGCUCAGGCACACUGGGGUUGUGCAGCAUAACAAUCAUUCGAAGCUGUCCAGCAAGACCUCUGAAUAUAAAAAAAA